CAGCCGCCACGGUAAGACAGAGGGUGCAAGCGUUAUCCGGAUUGAUUGGGUGUAAAGGGUGUGCAGACGGCUUAUUAAGUCACUUGUUAAAUUCUUCGGCCUAACUGAAGGUCUGCAAGUGAUACUGAUGAGCUAGAGGGUGGAAGAGAGAAGUGGAAUUCUCGGAGUAGCGGUAAAAUGCGUAGAUCUCGAGAGGAACACCAAUGGCGAAGGCAGCUUCUUGGUCCAUUCCUGACGUUCAUACACGAAAGCGUGGGGAGCAAACAGGAUUAGAUACCCCGGUAGUCCCUGUCUCUUAUAC
rnacentral:rRNA from 1 species